UCAGACGAUGCGUCAUGCAUAUCAAUAAGCGGAGGAAAAGAAACUAACAAGGAUUCCCUUAGUAACGGCGAGUGAAGCGGGAAGAGCUCAAAUUUGAAAUCUUCAAGGUUUUACCUUGACGAAUUGUAGUUUAAAGAAGUGUUUUCUGUUGAAGUUUUGGUAAAAGUUCUUUGGUAAUAGGACAUCAUAGAGGGUGAGAAUCCCGUAUUUGACCAUUAUUUUCAGCUGUGUGAUACACUUUCAAAGAGUCGGAUUGUUUGGGAAUGCAGUCCAAAAUGGGUGGUAAAUUUCAUCUAAAGCUAAAUAUUGGCGAGGAGACCGAUAGCGAACAAGUACCGUGAGGGAAAGAUGAAAAGAACUUUGAAAAGAGAGUUAAACAGUACGUGAAAUUGUCAAAAGGGAAGCGUUUGACACCAGUGUUGUUUUCUCGAAAAUCAAUUAAAAAGAGUUGGAUUUUGUGUUGUAUUGACCUUAACAGCUUGCUUCACUCUUUUCCUGCUUUUUUUAAUGCACUUUUCGUUUAACAAGUCAACAUCAGUUUCUUUUGUUGUAAAAGGGUCAUUGGAAGGUGGCUUUCUCUUCGGAGAAAGUGUUUAUAGCCAUUGAUCUCUGCAAUCGGAGAGACUGAGGUCUGCAGCGUAGAUCCUUCGGGGUUAGAUACAUUUGUGCUAAGCUACAGCUUUUCAUAGACAACUUGUUGACUAUGUUUAGUCUUGUAACUUACCCGCUUAUGCUAUUUUACCUACGCUUAGGAUGUUGAUAUGCAUGACUGAUAU
rnacentral:rRNA from 1 species